rnacentral:rRNA from 1 species
GGAUUAGAUACCCUGGUAGUCCACGCCGUAAACUAUCAAUACUCGUUUUCGGCGAUAUACAGUCGGAGACUAAGCGAAAGUGAUAAGUAUUGCACCUGGGGAGUACGAUCGCAAGGUUGAAACUCAAAGGAAUUGACGGGGGCCCGCACAAGCGGUGGAGCAUGUGGUUUAAUUCGAUGAUACGCGAGGAACCUUACCAGGGCUUAAAUGUAUUCUGACAGAUUUGGAAACAGAUCCUUCUUCGGACAGAUUACAAGGUGCUGCAUGGCUGUCGUCAGCUCGUGCCG